rnacentral:misc_RNA from 1 species
GAUGAAGAACGCAGCGAAAUGCGAUAAGUAAUGUGAAUUGCAGAAUUCCGUGAAUCAUCGAAUUUUUGAACGCACAUUGCGCCCCUUGGUAUUCCAUGGGGCAUGCCUGUUCGAGCGUCAUUGCUGCCCUCAAGCACGGCUUGUGUGUUGGGCCUCCGUCCUCCUCCCGGGGGACGGGCCCGAAAGGCAGCGGCGGCACCGCGUCCGGUCCUCGAGCGUAUGGGGCUUCGUCACCCGCUCUUGUAGGCCCGGCCGGCGCUUGCCGACACAUCAAUCUUUUUUCCAGGUUGACCUCGGAUCAGGUAGGGAUACCCGCUGAACUUAAGCAUAUCAAUAAGCGGAGGA